AAGUCGUAACAAGGUUUCCGUAGGUGAACCUGCGGAAGGAUCAUUAUUGAAUGAACUUGGUGUGGUUGUUGCUGGCCCUCUCGGGGGCAUGUGCACACCCACCAUCCUCAUCUCUCCACCUGUGCACCUUUUGUAGACCUGGAUAGACUUUCCGAGGCAACUCGGUCGGGAAGAUUGCUGCGCUCUGUGAGCCAGCUUUCUUUGCAUGUCCAGGCCUAUGUUUUUCRUAUACCCCUGUAGAAUGUAACAGAAUGUAUCAUUGGGCCUUGUGCCUAUAAACCUUAUACAACUUUCAGCAACGGAUCUCUUGGCUCUCGCAUCGAUGAAGAACGCAGCGAAAUGCGAUAAGUAAUGUGAAUUGCAGAAUUCAGUGAAUCAUCGAAUCUUUGAACGCACCUUGCGCUCCUUGGUACUCCGAGGAGCAUGCCUGUUUGAGUGUCAUUAAAUUCUCAACCUUAUUAGCUUUUGCUGAUAAUGGAUUGGAUGUGGGGGUUUCUUUUGCCGGCUUCUUCACAGAGGUCAGCUCCCCUAAAAUGCAUUAGCUGGUGCCCCGCGUGGACCAUCUAUUGGUGUGAUAAUUAUCUACGCCGUGGAUGUCUGCAAUCAUAUGGGUUUUGCACUGCUUCUAACCGUCUGUUCAUUCGGACAAUACAUGACAAUUUGACCUCAAAUCAGGUAGGACUACCCGCUGAACUUAA
rnacentral:rRNA from 1 species